UCCUCCAUAGCUCAGUGGUUAGAGCGUCCAACCGGCACCUGGAAGGUCAUGGGUUAUAUUCCCGUUGGGGAGCUCAGAA
rnacentral:tRNA from 1 species